ACAUCCAAAGAUUUUAGUAGCUCAAAGGAGCCAAUGAGUUUACAAAGGGUCAACUAUCUGGAACCGCUGUGAUUUACUAACAAGUGAUAAUGCGUGUGAGUUUAUUUUGUGUUACAGUUAUGGACAUUUUUAUUUCAGCUCCAUGAAACAACUUCAAACAUCUGAUUAAACUUUUGCUGAAACUUAACGUCAGAAGAGAAAUUAACAUGUUGGUCAGUUUUAAACUUAUUGCAUCUUUGUGCCAUCCAGUUGGUUAAGCAAAAAUAUUUAUUACUGUCAUUCUUCUUGUCUACAUAAUAAAGUCUGAGAUUUUAUUCAAGUCAUGUAAAUGAGAAAAAUCACAACAGACUUUGUGUCACAGCUGAUUAUAACCGAUCAUAACAGCAACCCCCACUUAAAUAGGCAAAAACAACUAUUAGCCGUAAUUUUUGCCCAAAAUGCUUGAGCUCUGCACAAAACAAUAUUGUGGUGCAGAUCUCUCAUGUAUCAAAAUGGUAACACGUUCUGAAUGUGCAGCUUGCUGUUUCCGUAGCCAAUGAGACGCAGGCAGCCUACGUCACCGCUGCAACAAACAGGUGCUGUGGGAACGUGGGAGUCCGUCUGCCAUUCACAACUUCCUCCAGACAGCAACUACCUAAAGGCGUUUGAAUGAAUGGCGUUUGUCUGUUACAAAGCUACAAGACUAACCGCUGAGAAUAAACACAGCGUCAAAACCCCGAAUGUCCAGUCAAAGUGUCACAAUGACAGACUGAAGUGGUCCGUGUGCAGCUAACGCUCUGGCUCCAAAAACAGCGGAGCUCCACUGAACCGUCCAACUAAAAAAAAAAAAAAAAAAAUCUCGUUCCGUACAGAUACAGCUGAAGAAAAGCAGACUGCGGCAUUACGAGAUAUGCCAACUUCAAUCCCUGCAGUAACGUUUUGGUCGACUGUGUGAAACCAGCUAUGUCUGCUACAUGCUAUUAGCCGACAACACCAAUUCACCAUCCCCGUUUAUGGCCUAGCAACACAAGCAUCGACCUCGAGUUACAGCACGUCGCUAUCCACACGCCCGCCAUUUAGAGCGUGGCGCAGGAGUUCAGCAAAAUACACUCCUUUUCUUUCAGAAAGUGAUCUCUUCAUUCAUCUACCCAAUGGAUGCACUGAAAUCUAACUACAUAAUUGGCUACUUCCUGGAGUCUGGCGACAUGUGACUGUGUAAGGAGGGAGCCUGCCUUUGCACUCUGAGAGGCCCCGCCCAGGAGGCGCUUCGUCCAAUCAGCGCACAGAACCGCCAUUACAAAUCCCCCAAAAGGUGGAACUUCUAAAAUAAACCAUCGCCCACGACAGGCGGAGCUGCAACAC